UACGUAGGGUGCAAGCGUUAUCCGGAAUUAUUGGGCGUAAAGAGCUCGUAGGCGGUUUGUCGCGUCUGCUGUGAAAACUGGAGGCUCAACCUCCAGCCUGCAGUGGGUACGGGCAAACUAGAGUGCGGUAGGGGAGAUUGGAAUUCCUGGUGUAGCGGUGAAAUGCGCAGAUAUCAGGAGGAACACCGGUGGCGAAGGCGGGUCUCUGGACAGUUCCUGACGCUGAGGCACGAAGGCCAGGGGAGCAAACGGG
rnacentral:rRNA from 1 species